rnacentral:lncRNA from 1 species
UGUGCAAUUCGUCUAGAUUGCCUGGUACGAUGAUGUGUAUUUUUUCCCAGAUAGUAGCACUAAUUCUCACCAAAACCUCGCGGUUAGAGAUUAUUUGGAACAUUAUCACUCUUGCAAUAAAAUAUAUACUGAGAAAAAAAGUUUUACCCAUCGGAAGACCGUCG